rnacentral:rRNA from 1 species
UACGGGGGGAGCAAGCGUUGUUCGGAUUUACUGGGCGUAAAGGGCGCGUAGGCGGCGCAACAAGUCACUUGUGAAAUCUCCGGGCUUAACUCGGAAAGGUCAAGUGAUACUGUUGUGCUAGAGUGCGGAAGGGGCAACUGGAAUUCUCGGUGUAGCGGUGAAAUGCGUAGAUAUCGUAAGGAAGACCAGUGGCGAAGGCGGGUCUCUGGACAGUUCCUGACGCUGAGGCACGAAGGUCAGGGGAGCAAACGGG